AGGGGUUUCCUGGUUGGACAGUUUAAACGUGUAUCCCGGUGUGAAAACGCCCAGUGUUUGGGAAACUGCUCUUUUUUUGUUCUGCUUGAGCUCAACGGCUGCAGUCCUGGAUUCAGUGAGAGCUGAGGAACAAAUCACUUUCAGCAGAAACCGUGAACUAAGAGUCAUCAAAGCUUUCUGACGCAGCUGCAGCGAUCUUCUGAGGAGAGGAGAGCAGUUCACGUCGUGACUACGUUUUGAUGAAAAGCAAGAAUCUCUGGAGGAGUAUCAUCUGAACUGAGCUCUGCUGCUGUGAAGAUGAUGUUUGUUAAAGAGGAGAGUGAAGAGAACACGAGUGAACCAGAAACCUGGAGAAUAAAACACGAGGAGCCAGAAACCUGGGGAAUAAAACCCGAGGAGGCAGAAAUCCGGGCGAUAAAACCCGAGGAGCCAGAAAUCCGGGCAAUAAAACCCGAGGAGCCAGAAAUCCGGGGAAUAAAACCCGAGGAGCCAGAAACCCGGGGAAUAAAACCCGAGGAGCCAGAAAUCCUGGGAAUAAAACCCGAGGAGCCAGAAAUCCGGGCAAUAAAACCCGAGAAGCCAGAAAUCUGGAGAAUAAAACACGAGGAGCCAGAAACUGGGAGAAUAACCGGAAACCGAGAGAAUAAAACGCAAGGAGUCAGAAACCUGCAGAAUAAAGCGCGAGGAGCCAGAAACCUGGAGAAUAAAACGCGAGGAGCCAGAAACCCGGAGAAUAAAACACGAGGAGCCAGGAGAAUAAAACACGAGGAACAAGUAGGCCUGAUGAAAAUGAAAGAAGAAAGGCAAGAUCUGAAUGAGGUGGAGGAUAAAUAUCAGGAUCAGAAAGAUCAAGAUGUCAAUGAAGAAAAAUCUGUGAGUUGCAGCAUUAAAACAACAGAAGUCAAGAGGCCAUUCAGUUGCUCUCAGUGUGGAAACACUUUUACAUGCAAAGAUAGCCUUGAGAACCACAUGUUAAUUCAUACUGGAAUAAAGUCUUUCAGCUGCUCUCAGUGUGGAAAGAGUUUUAUACAGAAAGCAAAGCUUAAGAGUCAUUUGGUAACUCACUCUUCAGAAAAACCUUUCAGUUGCUCUCAGUGUGGAAAGAGUUUUACAUAUAAAGUAAGCCUUAAGAACCACAUGAUAAUUCAUACUGGUAUAAAGGCUUUCAGCUGCUCUGAGUGUGGAAAGAGUUUUACACGGAAAGUAAGCUUAAAAGAUCAUAUGUUUAUUCAUACUGGAAUAAAGCCUUUCAGCUGCUCUCAGUGUGGAAAGAGUUUUACACAGAAAGCACAGCUUAAGAGUCAUUUGGUAACUCACUCUUCAGAAAAUCAUUUCAUCUGCUCUCAGUGUGGAAAGAGUUUUACAUAUAAAGAAAGCCUUAAGAACCACAUGAUAAUUCAUACUGGAAUAAAGCCUUUCAGCUGCUCUCAGUGUGGAAAGAGUUUUACACAGAAAGCACAGCUUAAGAGUCAUUUGGUAACUCACUCUUCAGAAAAUCAUUUCAUCUGCUCUCAGUGUGGAAAGAGUUUUACAUAUAAAGAAAGCCUUAAGAACCACAUGAUAAUUCAUACUGGAAUAAAGCCUUUCAGCUGCUCUCAGUGUGGAAAGAGUUUUACACAGAAAGCACAGCUUAAGAGUCAUUUGGUAACUCACUCUUCAGAAAAUCAUUUCAUCUGCUCUCAGUGUGGAAAGAGUUUUACAUAUAAAGAAAGCCUUAAGAACCACAUGAUAAUUCAUACUGGAAUAAAGCCUUUCAGCUGCUCUCAGUGUGGAAAGAGUUUUAUACAGAAAGCACAGCUUAAGAGUCAUUUGGUAACGCACACUUCAGAAAAGCCUUUCAGUUGCUCUCAGUGUGGAAACAUGUUUACACGCAAAGAUAGCCUUGAGAGGCACAUGUUAAUUCAUUCUGGAAUAAAGUCUUUCAUUUGCUCUAAUUGUGGAAAGAGUUUUACACAGAAAGAAAGCUUAAAGGAUCACAUGUUUAUUCAUACUGGAAUAAAGCCUUUCAGCUGCUCUCAGUGUGGAAAGUGUUUUAAAUAUAAAGCACACCUUAAGAGUCAUUUGUUUACUCACACUUCAGAAAAGCCUUUCAGCUGUUCUCAGUGUGGAAAGAGUUUUACACAGAAAGCACACCUUAAGAGUCAUUUGUUUACGCACACUUCAGAAAAGCCUUUUAGCUGUUCUCAGUGUGGAAAGUGUUUUAUAAAGAAAGUACACCUUAAGAGUCAUUUGUUAACUCACACUUCAGAAAAACCUUUCAGUUGCUCUCAGUGUGGAAACACUUUUGCACGCAAAGAAAGCCUUGAGAAGCACAUGUUAAUUCAUACUGGAAUAAAGUCUUUCAGUUGUUCUCAGUGUGGAAAGAGUUUUAUACAGAAAGCACAACUUAAGAGUCAUUUGAUAACUCACACUUCAGAAAAGCCUUUCAGUUGCUCUCAGUGUGGAAACACUUUUGCACGCAAAGAAAGCCUUGAGAAGCACAUGAUAAUUCAUACUGGAAUAAAGUCUUUCAGCUGCUCUCAGUGUGGAAAGCGUUUCAUAUGUAACCGUAAUCUUAAGAGGCACAUGUUAAUUCAUGCUGGGAUAAAGUCUUUCAGCUGCUUUCAGUGUGGAAAGAGUUUUACACAGAAAGCAGACCUUAAGAAGCAUUUGGUAACUCACACUUAAGAAAAACCUUUCAGCUGCUGUCAGUGUGGAAACACUUUCACGUUUAAAGCAAGCCUUAAGAGGCACGUUAAUUCAUUCUGGGCAAAAGUCUUUCACUUGCUCUCAGUUUGGAAAAACUUUUACACAGAAAGGACACUGCAAGGUUAAUUUGGUAACCCACUCUUCAUAAAAGCCUUUCACCUUGGGGAGUUAAAGUAAAUGACUGUUUUUCUGAAUGACUGUCAUCAACUGGAUCACCUCAAGGAUGUGUCCUCUCCCCCUUAUUAUUUAUCUUGUACACAAAGACUGUAAAAGUAGUUUUAGAAAUAGGCAUAUUAUAACAUUUGCUGAUAAUUCCAUAAUUGUUAGCUUAAUGAGUGAGGAGGACUCCAUGUUUGGCCCUGUGGUUUAUGAUUUUAUUAUGUGGUGUCAGAAUGCUUUCUUGAAACAUACUGUAAAGGCACAAAAUUUAAUUUUUCACCGCUGGAGGGCGUCUAUUCAAAAUAAGCCGUCUAAGUGAAACAAGGCCAACGAACCUUGACACGCGUAUAGCUUGAAAGCUUUUAUUAUGCCAGAGUUGAUCGCUUCCACUGCUUCCAGUUGUGCGUAUGAGAGGUAAAGCAGCGCUGUUUUAACAUACUAGAUACGUUUGAAAGUCCUGUUAUAAUGCUACUCUGUGUGGUCGUCACCAGUCUAUUAAAACACACAACAUUAAAGCGUCUUUGGUGUUUCCAUGUUUUCUACAAAACAAAACCAGAAAUGGAGGGGUUAAGAAGUAAUUGGCAGGUGACACAAUAAGACUAUGGCCACUGUCCGUGUAACUAGUUUUAAACAUUCUUUGAAACAUUCGGGAUAAUGUAAGUACACAAGUCAGCAAAUUAUAUAACACUUCUAGUGGUUUUGGGAUAUUGUAAUCUUACAUAUUGUGCAUUUAAUGUUUAUAAAACUAAGACGAUGAAUAUUGAUUUUAACUCUUGGAUGAAAUCUAUUUAGUGUAAGCAAACAAGCAUUAAUGGAGUAGGUAUCGAGAGUGUACACGUUUUUGGGCACUGUGUUGGAUAACAAAUGCUUAUUUUCUCCCAAUACUGAGGUUUUGUGUAAGAGGGGGCUGCAAAGAUUGUAUUGCUUGCGGAAACUAAGGUUAUUUAAUGUGGACAAAACAUUGAUGUGCAUGUUCUACAGAUCCUAUAUUGAGUUACUGUUAUCUUUUUCACUGUUGUGCUGGUUUAAUUCUCUAAAAGUGAAAAACAUGAAUUGGCUUGAUUGUAAACCAGGGAAGUAAAAUAACUUUCAUUUAUCCCCUCAGUUGUGAAGUUUUUAUAAAUUUAAGUUAAUAACUUUUUAGGAAGGAAAUGUAUUGUGUUUUUGUUGUUUAUGUGAAAUUUUUGAUUGCUGCAACCAAAUUGCCUUUGGGAAAUAAAUAAAAUGAACUGAACUGAACCUGCUCUCA